CAAUAGCGUAUAUUUAAGUUGUUGCAGUUAAAAAGCUCGUAGUUGGAUUUCGGGUGGGACGCAGCGGUCUCGCAUUGCGUUUGUACUGCUGCAGCCCUCCUUCUUGCCGGGGGCGGCCUCUCGGACUUCACUGUCUGGGGGUCAGAAUCGGCGAUGUUACUUUGAGUAAAUUAGAGUGUUCAAAGCAAGCUUACGCUCUGAAUAUAAUAGCAUGGGAUAACACGACAGGUCUCUGGCCUAUCGUGUUGGUCUAUAGGACCAGAGUAAUGAUUAAGAGGGACAGUCGGGGGCAUUCGUAUUCCGUUGUCAGAGGUGAAAUUCUUGGAUUUACGGAAGACGAACAUCUGCGAAAGCAUUUGCCAAGGAUGUUUUCAUUGA
rnacentral:rRNA from 1 species